rnacentral:rRNA from 1 species
AUACGGAGGGUGCAAGCGUUACUUGGAAUCACUGGGCGUAAAGCGCGCGCAGGCGGUUUGAUAAGUUGGAUGUGAAAUCCUAUGGCUCAACCAUAGAACUGCAUCCAAAACUGUCAAACUAGAGUCUGGGAGAGGAAGAUGGAAUUAGUUGUGUAGGGGUAAAAUCCGUAGAGAUAACUAGGAAUACCAAAAGCGAAGGCGAUCUUCUGGAACAGUACUGACGCCGAGGCGCGAAAGCGUGGGGAGCAAACAGGAUUAGAAACCCCGGUAGUCC